UUGGAGCUGUAGCCACCAGCCUACACCAGAGCCACAGCAAUGCCCGCUCCGAGCCGCAUCUGUGACCUACACCACAGCUUGCUGGAUCGUUAACCCACUGAGCAAGGCCAGGGAACGAACCCGAAACCUCAUGGUUCCUAGUUGGAUUCUUAACCACUGUGUCACGAUGGGAAUUCCUGUCUUUUGCCUUUUUUAGGGCUGCACCCAAGGAAUAUGGAGGUUCCCAUGCCAGGGGUCCAAUUGGAGCUGUAGCUGCUGGCCUACACCACAGCCACAGCAACGCAGGAUCCAAACCGCAUCUGCGACCUACACCACAGCUCACAGCAACGCUGGAUCCUUAACCCAUUGAGCAAGGCCACGGAUUGAACCUUCAGCCUUAUGGAUAUUAGGUUCGUUAACCACUGAACCACGACUGGAACUCCAGCCUUUCCUGUUUUUUCACCUCUUUUCCUAGAAAGACCUGUUUGUGUUUGAUUAUUUAUUUAUUCACAGCUCAAAUGAAAUUGUCACUGGCUAUGCUGUUAAGAGUUUUGGGGGUUAUGUGAGGACAUAAUGAACAUUGGAACUUGAGUAAAAUAAACAGCCAUUCUCCAAUAAGCAGUUAAACUACAGAAGUUUGGAAAACCUCAGAGUGGUACCAGAAAGAACUUUCUCUUGGUUUUGAAGAAAGCAUAUCAGUCCCUCCCUUUUGGAUUGUUUUCAUAGGUAAAUGUUAAUUAUAAGUAAUUCUAAACAUGGGAAGAAAUAUUUUAUAUGUGUUAGUGUAGGCUGUGGUCCCUUUAUGUGUGGGUCUCUGUCAUAAGUGGCCUUGAAAAUGCAUAAACGGACCUGAGUUAAUUCCUUCACUGUAGAAUAAUUACGGUGAAGAAUGAAUUCCUUGCAGCUGAGGCUUUAAAAAAUAUUUUCAUCAUAAUUUUUUACUAACCAAAAUCCUUUGGUUUUCUCACCUCCUAAUUGGUAAUUCACUAGAAAUAUGUUGCUAUUCCGCAUUAUGACCACUGGGGGGCGUAGAUUAUUUUCAUGUUUUGUUAAAAACAGAAUGUAGUAUAUAUUUCUGUUUAACCAGUUUAGCCUAAUAUCAAAUUAGGAAAUUUCAUGUUAGGAAAUUUUAAAUUAUUACAUUUUCUUAAGCCUAUUAUAUCUAGUCUCAUACACUUAGGGGAUUAGUUGUUGAGAAAAAAUAAAGCUAUGUAUUUUACGAGCAUCAUUAGCUAUGGAAGCUGAACAUGAUUCUGACUCUCCUGGCCAGUGGAUUAAUUUUGUGUCCCUAAGCUAGUAUUUUUCUUGAAAACUUAAAUGUCUUGGAAAAAAAGACUUCAACUUCUACCUGCUUUUUUUUUUAAGAUUAUUGAAGAUACUAUGCAAAAAUAAAAAGUAGUGUUUCUCAGUGCUCAAUCAUUUAUUCUUAUCUUAGCCUGUAGAGAAAAAGUCUGACAAUACAGUAGUAUUUUUCUUUGAAAAAAAUUGCAUGGAUGAUUACAAAUUGUUGGUUGUCUGGAAGGUACCACCAUUGAAGUGAGGGAGACCUCAGGUCCCAGCCUGGGCUCCAGAGGAAGUUGGAGGUGUGUGCCCUGUGGCAAAAUCAGUGUUCGGAAGGUGAACUCAACUCUGUCUGUUCUGUGCUGCAUGCUCCUUUUGCAGUCAACAUCCUAUGAGUCAUUGAUCCAGGCCACAAGCUGUGGCAGCAUCCAGGCUCCUGGGAGGUGGAGGUGCCCUGCCCCACCCCUGCCAGCACCCCUCUCGCCUCAUCUGGUGUCAUGAAAAAGCACUGACUGGAAACCAGGUGCCCACUGGUGGGUGGCCUUGGGCUAAUUGCCUGACCUCUCUGGGCCUCUGUUUGUCCCCGUUUAGAAUGGAGAAGGUUUUUCUCCCCCCACAUCUUCAUCUCUUCACUGCCCGCCUCCGACUUGGUUUCCUUCUCCUGUUUUCCCCUGGUGUUAUUUUCUCAUCUAUUCCAACUUUGAUUUCCUCUUUUCCUUCUCAUAUUCCCUUGUAGUUUCUCCAGAAUUUCUGUCUGGUCACCCCUCACGUCCCUUCUUCCUGACCACCCACUUCUCCUGUUUUCCCCCUGGCAGCUCCAUUGUGGGGUUUUCUUACCACCAUCUGAUGUUGAGGAUCCAGGACUGUGGUAGGACGUGGGGGUUUAAAUUUUAUACAUUGUGUGAUAGUUAGACUCCCCACAUCACUUCUCUUUUGAAGGGGGAAUUUGUGUCUGGGUCCUGUGUUGACUUGGAUUACAAGCCUGCAGGCCCUUCAUGGUGCUAUCUAUAGGUGGGCGGGGCAGCAGGCAGUGAACGCGCUGAAUGUAAGAUAAAUUUUCCCAUUUCUAGUUUUGGUGAAAUUUGUUUUCAGUUUUGCCAUUAACAUUUUUAUUAUGCAUAUCUUGAUGGUAUAUUGCUGUAGUAAACAUCACCACCACACCCUUAUUUACUCAUUUGGAUAUUUUGUCUUUAGUGAUGUUUAGGCAGAGAAAGUUUAAUAAUUUGAACAUUAUUAAACAUAUGAGGAUCAGCUAGUAUAUUGAUGAAUUAACCAAAUACAUUGAUGGAAUGAUGAAAACUCCUGUCCCCCUCACCUCUCCAUUGAUGGAACUGUGGCCGAGUGUUCUUUCUUGUUCUCAAGAUUGUCUUGGGACCCUAAAGUUGUGCUCCAAUAGAAAUAUAAUGGGAGCCACACAUGUCAUUUAAAAUUCUCUAAUAACAUUAAAAAGUAAAAAAGAAAAGCAGAUGAAGUUAAUUUUAAAAAUAGCUUAUUUAACUUAGUAUGUGCAAAAUAUCUUUAUUUCAACAAGUAACCUAUAUAAAAAAUUAUAUGAUUUCACAUUCUGCUUUCAUCUUGUGUGUUUAUGCUUACAGCACACUCAGUUGGCACUGGUCACAUAGCAAACAUAGCCAUGUGGGUAAUGCAGCACAGACCUAGACACUUGCAUAAAAUAGUAUGUUUUAAUUUAAAAAUUAAUGGACCUUGUCUGUAUGUAUGUUUUAGGUUUUUAGAAAAAUUCUCUUGAAGUUUCUAUAAAUUGACUUUACUAAGAGCCAGAAUGGAAAGACCAGGAAUGUUUGAAUUUUAGUAUUAUGUUGUCAUACUCGUAUUAAAGAUGAAUUGUUCAUUAUAUUAUUACUAUUACUAUGUGAUAGUACCAUUAUAACAUUAAUGUAACUAGUGCUGUGUUAACAUACAGUAACAAACUGUAAUUUGUUCAUUAUUUACAGAGCUGAGCAGACUAGCUCCCAUUCACAGUUGUGAAACUAUAUUGGGUCAUGCCGAUAAAUAGCACCAAGUAAAACAUUUCAGUGAUUGAGUUCUAUAAAGCAUAUGUAACCUGGCUGUCUUUGGGAAGCUCAUUGAUGCUUAGAAAAUCUAUGUAAACCAUUUUCCUUUACAUGGCUAAUUUAUUGACAGUUAAAUUCACCAUCUAUGUAGUUAUUUUAUUUCUAAAAAUGAGGAUGUGAUUGAUUUAGAGAAUCAUUAACUCAAUCCGUGUGCUUGUGAUGGAAGCUGCAGUGACGGUCAUGUGGCUGGGCAGGACUUGGUACCUAUCAGUAUAAACACACGGCACAGCCCGUCCCAUGCCCCUUAUCUCCUUCACAGGGAAGGGGUUGAGGCAUUUUGAGCAAAUCUUAUUGGUAAAGUCAUGCAUGUAUUGCCUUUUUUUUUUUUUUUUUUUUUUUUUUAAGAAUCAUUUCCUUUCAGUUUUAACCAUAUUACUGUGUCUGCAAACAGUUUGCACUCAGUCUGUCGGCAAAAGGACUUUCUGUUUUAAUUACUGAGAAGUGUGCCUUCAUGUCUGAAAAAAGGCAUGCUGGUGACCUAGUUGAGUUUUAAGAUGUUUUACUUAGAAGAUGAGAAUGAGGAGGGGGAGAAGAUUGCUGAAGGUGGUGAUCGCGGAAAGGCCCCUGCUGGUAUCCUGAUAGUGUGGUGAAAUCAUGGAGAAGUGAGCCCAGUGAGCAGAAAUCUGUGCUUCCAAACUUCCUUAAAGAAAAUAUGUGGCAUAUUCAAUAUCUGAAUUUAUGAACUGACGAGCCCUGACUGCUGAACUUAAGUCUCAAACCAUGAAUUAUGUGGGACAGCUGGCCGGGCAGGUGAUUGUCACUGUGAAGGAGCUCUACAAGGGCAUUAACCAGGCCACCCUGUCUGGGUGCAUCGAUGUCAUCGUGGUGCGGCAGCAGGAUGGCACCUACCAGUGCUCGCCUUUCCACGUUCGCUUCGGGAAGCUGGGGGUCCUGAGGUCCAAGGAGAAGGUGAUCGACAUAGAAAUCAAUGGCGAUGCGGUGGAUCUUCACAUGAAGCUGGGGGACAACGGGGAAGCUUUCUUUGUGGAGGAGACUGAAGAGGAGUAUGAGAAACUUCCUGCUUACCUUGCCACCUCACCCAUUCCUACUGAAGAUCAGUUCUUUACGGAUAUUGACAGCCCUCGGGGGAAACCAGGGGGGAAUGAAAGGCCACCUCAGAGCUCUGACAUCUCCCCCGUCCUAGAAACGGAGACAGUUUUUGCCCCCAGUUCUGUGAAGAAGAAGAAACGAAGGAGGAAGAAGUGCAAACAGGACAGUAAGAAGGAAGAGCAGACCGCUUCUCCCGCUGCUGAAGAUGCCGUGGGCGUGGACCUGAGCUCCGACGAGGACAAGGGGCUGCAGGCGAUAAGAGGAUCUUCAAAUGCUUCCUUAAAGGAAGAAGAAUAUAAGGAGCCUCUGCUCUUCCACUCAGGAGAUCACUACCCUCUAUCUGAUGGAGACUGGUCCCCUUUAGACAACCCCUACUCCCCAGCAGCAUGUCCGAAGAGUGACUCCGAGCUGGAAUUGAAACCAGCCGGGAGCCUGCUCAGAUCCGAGUCCCACAUGGAGUGGACGUGGGGCGGGUUCCCAGAGUCCACCAAGGUCAGCAAAAGAGAGCGAUCUGACCACCAUCCUAGGACAGCUACAAUUACUCCAUCAGAAAAUACCCAUUUCCGGGUAAUUCCCAGUGAGGACAGCCUACUGGGUGAGGUGGCAAAGGAUGCGUCCGUGGGGGAGACCGUCUGCACGAUCGUGAAGCCCAGGCCCCGGGCCCCGGGGAAGCAAAGGAGCGGAGCGGCCUCUGCAGCCGAGCUUCUGGAGCCUCCGGUCCCUGCUCCCUGGGACACCCACCACCCCCUGCCCCCGUCAUUCGCCGAGGUUCCUUCAGAGUCCAAACCGGCUGCUAAAAUUGACUCUCCCUCAAAGAAGAGAGGUGUCCACAAGAGAAGCCAGCACCAGGGACCUGAUGAUAUUUACCUGGAUGACCUCAAGGCACUAGAACCUGAAGUUGCAGCUCUCUAUUUCCCCAAAAGUGAGUCGGAGCCUGGCUCCCGGCAGUGGCCCGAGUCUGACACCUUCUCCGGCUCCCAGUCCCCACAGUCGGUGGGCAGUGCAGCUGCUGAUAGCGGCACCGAGUGCCUGUCGGAUUCCGCCAUGGACCUGCCCGACGUCACCCUCUCGCUCUGUGGGGGCCUCAGCGAGAACGGGGAGAUUUCUAAAGAAAAAUUCAUGGAGCAUAUCAUCACUUACCAUGAAUUUGCAGAAAACCCUGGACUUAUAGACAAUCCCAAUCUUGUCAUACGGAUAUAUAACCGUUACUAUAACUGGGCGUUGGCUGCUCCCAUGAUCCUCAGCUUGCAGGUCUUUCAGAAGAGCUUACCUAAGGCCACAGUGGAGUCCUGGGUCAAAGAUAAGAUGCCAAAGAAAUCUGGUCGCUGGUGGUUUUGGCGUAAGAGAGAGAGCAUUACCAAACAGCUGCCAGAAGCCAAGGAAGGGAAAUCUGAGGUGCCGCCACCCAGCGACCUGCCAUCGAGCGUGAAGGAGCCGGCCAGCGGCAGGCCGGCCGAGGACGACUCGUCCAGUGAUGAGGGGUCACAGGAGCUCGAAGAGUCCAUCAAGGUGGACCCUGUCACUGAGGAGCCCCCGAGCCACAGCAGCACGACCUCCUACAAGAAGUCUCUUCGUCUUUCCUCAGACCAGAUCGCAAAACUGAAGCUCCAGGACGGCCCAAAUGAUGUUGUGUUUAGUAUUACAACCCAGUAUCAAGGCACCUGCCGCUGCGCAGGGACCAUUUACCUAUGGAACUGGAACGACAAGGUCAUCAUUUCCGACAUCGAUGGAACAAUAACCAAGUCUGAUGCCUUGGGACAGAUUCUCCCACAGCUGGGUAAAGACUGGACUCAUCAGGGUAUAGCCAAGCUCUACCACUCCAUCAAUGAGAAUGGCUACAAGUUCCUGUACUGCUCCGCCCGUGCCAUCGGCAUGGCCGACAUGACCCGUGGCUACCUGCACUGGGUCAACGACAAGGGCACGAUCCUGCCCCGGGGCCCCCUGAUGCUGUCCCCCAGCAGCCUGUUCUCGGCCUUCCACAGGGAAGUAAUAGAAAAGAAACCAGAGAAGUUCAAAAUCGAGUGUCUAAAUGACAUCAAGAAUCUGUUUGCCCCAUCCAAGCAGCCCUUCUAUGCUGCCUUUGGAAACCGUCCAAAUGUAAGUGUCUCCUGGGCUGCGCCGAUGGGGUGGGUCAGACUCAGGAACGUUCUGCCGGCCGUAGAGGCAGAAGGCGCGUCUGCUCUGCCGAGCAGGCUUUCCCUGCUCCAGCGGCUGGGGAGGGCCUGUCAUGGGCUCUGCCCAGAAUUUUGGUGUGUCACGAAAUGCGUGCGCUCUCUCUUUGUGGCUUCCAUUCCAUUUCCUCACGCGGUUCUGACUCUGGUUGUAAGUGAUUCUGGGAUGCGACCUAGACCAGGGCAUGAACGCCCCCCUCGUUAAGGCCUCCCUUCUCCUGCUCCCUUCUCCCUGGCCUCUCCAGGGCACCCAAGUUUUCUGGCUGCUCCAGUGCUUGGCUCCACUCUUUCGUGUCUGUUUGAAGCUCAGCUCCAGUGGCAAAGCUGUGCUAUGCCAGCUCCACGUGUUUUCUAUACACGACCUCCUUUAUUGUGUGAUUCCUCUGGCUCGCAAGUAGAGAUCCAUCUCCUAAUUUCCGCCUGUAACGGCCCUGCCCAUGUCCUGCUGCAGGAUGUCUAUGCGUACAUGCAAGUUGGAGUUCCGGACUGCAGAAUAUUCACCGUGAACCCCAAGGGCGAACUGAUACAAGAGAGGACCAAAGGAAACAAGUCAUCGUAUCACAGACUGAGCGAGCUCGUGGAACACGUGUUCCCACUUCUCAGUAAGGAACAGAAUUCUGCCUUCCUGUGCCCGGAGUUCAGCUCCUUCUGCUACUGGCGAGACCCAAUCCCCGAGGUGGACCUGGACGACUUGGCCUGAGGCGGCACCUCCAGCGGGGGGACCCGCCAUCGCUCACCUCGCAGCAGGGGAAGGUGACCGGCCCUUCUGCUGGACAGAGGACACGGGGCUACCCUCCCAGCCACAGGUGUGGGAUGAGACGUGCUGACAUCCAGGUGCCAGCAGGGACGGGGAGGGCCGCUGGAGCUGGAACUGCCCUCCCCGUCACCCUCUCGGGCUCGGUGGCACCACCAACACCCAGGCAGGGGGAGCGACGCCUGGGCUCUGUUGCUGGCUGGUCCUCUCACACACACUGUGACCAGUUGAGGUGUGUGCUGGGUGCUCCUUUAAUUGCAUAAUUUAAAUGGAAGAGGAAAGACACUAAGAGUGGACCAAAACAUUGCACAAAGUAAAGUGUUAUAAUUUCUGCUGGGCAGUUGAGAGUGUUUCUCUCGGAAACGUGGGCUUUCUCCAUGGGCCCAGUGUCCAGUGAGUGACGGAGCUCCAAACCGCCCAUGCCAGCUCUUAUGUGUGUGCCUCCCUCCCUGCCCCACAGGGACAAGACAGCUGCUCAGGCCCCCAGGCGAUACACGUGGGCUUCUGGGGAGGAAAAGGCCCUUAGGCCAAGGCUGCGUACCUGUGAUUCCUUCUCUCGGGAGACCUGCAGUGUUGUGUCUUGGACCAACCCAAAGGGGCAGGUCUGGCAGGAUGUGUAUGGCACCGUAGGAGCAGCGCCACCAACAGGAGCUGUGGUUAAACAAGGAAUGGCUCCGUUUUCAGGGAGGCCUUGGAAAUGCACAUGUGCACUUGUGACAGGUCCUGGGAAACGACCUUUUUCUCUCUCGCUCUGCCUGCAGUGACCUGGUUGUAAUGAGCUGGUGUUGGAGCCGCACAGGCUGCACCAGGGAGAGUUUCUGUCCAUAAGCCCCUCCGGAGCUGUAGGCAUGAGCUGCAGAGAAGAGGCUGGACAUGGACAGUGCCCUCAGUGUUCAGAUCCAGGGGACUCAGAGAGGAGGCUCUCGGGACCAAAGAUGAUCACACACAGCCCUGCGCUGGGUGAGAAAGCAGUGGGCUGGCUUCCCGAGCGGAGAGGGGACACGGUGGAAACCCUGCGGAGCAGUGUAGCAUGGUCCCAGGCAGUUUCUGUCCCUGCCUCUGCUUUCCCUGUGCCGUGUUGGUGGCACCCCUCAUUCUGGUUAGCUCCACCAAAAUAAUCCUGAUCUAGGGAUGGAGUGCUGGGGAUGGUUAUUUUCCAGAUUGGAGAGUUGAAAGUCUUUGACUCAGUUCGGCUGUUGUUCCUGGUGCCAUUGGAUGCAGAGACAGUGGCAAAGUCCCCUGAACAGAGUUGCCAGAGGCAGAGCCUGGAGGCAGCACGUCCAGAGGAGCAGCACAGCUUCCUCUGGUGCAGACCUUCCCACCUUAAGUACAAGGACUCACCUUUUACAGCAUUUAUUUGUGUAUAGUAGGGCAGGGAAACCAGGUUAUGUUUAUACGAAGUUCUGCCUAGUUAGUGAAAUACGUUCCUAGGGCAGUGGCCCUGCGGUUACUUCAUCUCAUGGAAGCAGUCAGCGUGUCCCCGCCAUGUCUGGUUUAAAAUUAGGCGCUUACCCUGAGCUUCAUAGGGCUUCUUUGCGAAUUUGCGGUAUGGAAAUCUUCACACACACGGAACCCUUUGUAGGUUGUCCUUUAGGGAGCUUCUGACGGUUUCUUUGGCCUGAUGAGCUCUCUUUCUGGCCUCAGGGGCGUCUUGAGGGUCGGACCUGGGAAGCCAGGUCUCUGGCCCCCUGCCGCCCUCUGCCCGGUGUCGGUCAGCACUCAGCUUUGUCAUUUUGUCACUGCAGAUUGAUCCAGUGGGUACAUAUGCUAAUUAACAUGAGUCUUUUUCCUUAUUUAAAGGAGUCCCUCUUGCUGAAAGUAGCUGAUUACUAUUACUAUAGUGUAUAAAAGUAUUGUUUGUGCUGAAAAUCCAUUGCCAUUUGGUACAAAUGACAUUUGUUCUUUCUGUGAAAGAGAGAUGCCCUCGAGUGUGUUUGUACACAGACCCUCACGAUGGUGGCUGGCAGGACCUGUAGCUUCUCGCUGCUUUGGGUGACUGGCGACACCACGGGGAGGCCAAGGCGGACGGGGCCCUUCUCAGUCACUCUCCCCUUUACUGCACUGGCGAAGGGCUGCGGCCCCUCUCUGUCUCUCCAGUCCAGUCCGACUUGACCUCUGCCUUGAUGUCCACGUGCUGAAGCUUGAACAGCUGUGGUGUCAGAUCUUCGGGGCGUAGGAAGUACAUGUGUGGGCGCCAGAGUGCACACACUUAGCCCCUCCGGAGCUCAUAGUGUGUGUGAGCACUGUGUUGGCUGUGCUUCCAAACAUUUGCUUAGUUUUCAACUGGAAAAAAACUUACUAUGUGAUGUCACGAAAUGCAAGCUGCUGACAAUCCGGGAACCACAGCCAGCCAAGCGACUGUAAAGUACCCAUGCCCUUGGCGGCACGUGGCCCUUCCAGAGGGUCGCCCGACACAACAGGCAGGGGGGAGAUGUUCCUUCUUUGCAAGUUGGUGAAAACAGACUCUCCCAGGGAAUUGUAUCGUCUUUUCGAGUAUCAUCAUAGUUAACUCUGGGAAGCCUUGUUUUCCCCUAUUUUAGAGAAUGCUGGGUUUAAUGAAACUGGUUAAAAAUUAGUUUUUGUUUAAAGUAAGUGUUCUUUCCAGGUGAGAACUUUUUUGGUUUGUUUUAAAGGUAAGAACAGGAGGGGAAACUUUGCUUUUUUAAUUUAAUCAUUACAUUCAGCCUAGAAUGACUUACUUGAUUAUUAGACAGUGAUACCACUAAAAAGUUUUAAGUUUUCAGAAAUUAAUUGUAAACAUCAGUUCAGUCCUUAGUUUAUGGCAGAGACAACUGUCUUAAGAUAAACCCUCAUUUUGGUGCAGUGUUUGAUGUUCAAAACAAAAUGUUACAACAAUAAACAAACAUAAACUGAA